CAGGACGAACGCUGGCGGCGUGCCUAAUACAUGCAAGUCGAACGGUCUUUCUAUGGAAGCUUGCUUCCACUGAGAAGAUAGUGGCGAACGGGUGAGUAACACGUGGGUAACCUGCCCAUAAGAGGGGGGAUAACAUCCGGAAACGGGUGCUAAUACCGCAUAGUUUUCUUGAUCGCAUGAUCGGGAAAGGAAAGACGGCCUUUGUGCUGUCGCUUAUGGAUGGACCCGCGGCGUAUUAGUUAGUUGGUGAGGUAACGGCUCACCAAGACGAUGAUACGUAGCCGACCUGAGAGGGUGAUCGGCCACAUUGGGACUGAGACACGGCCCAAACUCCUACGGGAGGCAGCAGUAGGGAAUCUUCCGCAAUGGACGAAAGUCUGACGGAGCAACGCCGCGUGAGUGAAGAAAGGUUUUCGGAUCGUAAAACUCUGUUGUCAGAGAAGAACAAGUUGGAGAGUAACUGCUCCAGCCUUGACGGUAUCUGACCAGAAAGCCACGGCUAACUACGUGCCAGCAGCCGC
rnacentral:rRNA from 1 species